CAUGUUGCUCCUGACUAUAAGAUUUCUUAGACGAGGCUGCUUUUGAUGCCUUUGAUGAACCCAAACUUUUUGCUUCUCUUAGAACACCCGAAAAUUUUCUAUUGUCUACAGGAUGCAGGACUCUAGAUUGGCGAAGUUGUACCAAAGGUUCAUCCUCAGCCAACCCACUUUCUUUGUGAAACUGCAACAAUCUUGUACACCUUGUGAGAAUGAAAAGCAUCCGGGUAUAAAGCUGCUUCAGCACACACGCAGGAAGUUCUUGACGCUUAUCAUCUAGCUCCUGAACAAUGCCUUCACACUGAAGCCAAAACUCACCAGGUGGUGUCAUAGCACAGCUUCGAGCCAAAACCAGCAAAUCCUCAAUAGUUUCCUGCCACUCAGGAUGACUGUCAGCAGUUCUUUCUAGAACUCCAACAAGAUCUGCUGCAAAAAUAGCCAGAUCAGAGUUCACUUCCUCCUUUGCUUUGUCAAAUUUUGCUCUAAUAGCAACCAAGGUUUCCUGCAUAAAAAGAAAAUUCUUGUUAGAAAAACAUAACUGAAUGAAAAUGGGAGGCAAGAAAUAGAAACAAACCUCCAAGUUGUUUAAGCGCCGAGGUUUCCAAAGCGGAAAUGGUCGUACACCUUUGGAAUUUAAUUCAUGGGAAAAGCUCUUAAUAUCAGCAGGGAACCUCUUCCGAGGACCACUUGUAACACGGAGAAUAGCUUGAAAACGGGGCGAUUCAGAUUCCUUUGGGUUUUCACAAUCAAAUGAAAUCUGGGAAAGAAAUAACACCAUCACAAGUUAAAACUUAAAAUGAAAACAGAAGGCAGUUGUCCCUAGUAAUAAGUAACAGCAAAGUAAGGAUCAACGAAAAUACUACUGUACCUCUGGUGUACAAAAAUCUGAACUUUUUAAGCCUCCAGAGUGCCCAAGUGAUGACUCGUCUUGCCCUGGUAACAAAAUUCCAAGGUUUCAAAGCAACGUUUGAAAGAAGAAUCACAACAAAUUGCCAGCAAGCCUUCAUGCAGUGAAACCAUUUUAUUAUGACCCAGCAUUCCAAAUAAAAAGUAGUUUGAACCCCCAGAAAUUUUCUAAAAUAAAAAUCCUCUUCUAGUUAAAACAGAAAGGAGAAAUGAAAAAAAUGCACUCGAGAAAUGUUGCAGCUUCAGAGAAAUGCAUAACUAGAAAAGCAGUGGGGUCUUUCUUUAUGACAUUAGGAAGGAAGAAGAUGGUAACUAGAAAAGCCCCAAAAGUACUUUAACCAAAUCAUAAGGGUAGUAUUCCAAAGUCCAUAUCGAAGUUCAGAACUUCAGAUAGGUGGAGAUGGGGCAGUGACAGUAAAUACUCAAAAAACUUUGUUACAUAAGAAGCAUUUUAUAAUAACCAACAAUUUGAACUGGCAAUAUGAGAAAAGCAGUUCAUUUCAUAUCCUUUAUAAUCACAUCACCCUCUAAGGGGCAGUUUGAUUACUGAAUAUACCAAAUUAAAUGCAGCUGCUAAAAAUAUUAAGAAUCACAAGCAUAUCAGCAUCUUAGGGAAAUUCCCUUUAGCUCUCCCAAAAUCCAUAGCCCAUCAACCAUUUCUAUUUCUACUAAUUACCCAUCCACAUUCUACAUGCUCUUUCUAUUUUAAUCUCUUCAUUCUUGAAGAAGAUUAGUCCAGAAUUCAAAAAAAAAAGAUCCUGUUGAGACAUGGCAAGAAGAGACAAUGAAGAAAGGCCUACCAGAAUCCAAUAUAAUAUAAAAGAUGAAUCAGUAAGAUCACAAGUACUAUAUUUCUGUGUUGAACAUGAUAUAUUUACCCACUGCGAUCAGCAGUAAACAUAUCAUGCACUUUUAGCAAUUAAUUUUCAUAUGCUAAUGUUUCUCUCGACAAAAAUCUAAUAUUAACUGAGAUAAAUGAAACUUUACAGAAAUCCUUAGAGCAAAUUAUAUACCUUUCCAUUUGGAUUCUACCAGCUCAACCUAAUAGCACAAUUUUAAAAUUUUUCUUUAAAAAAAAAAAGGUAAAUUGGAAAUUUUCUUUACAAAGAAUCUUUAAAAUUCAAUCUCUGCAACAUGCCAAGUGCCAACUGUUCAAGAAAAAUGCACAAGAGCAUGGUAAAAGUAAAUAACAUUAACUAAACCAUUGCAUGUCUUUUAUCAUCUCAGAGUGACAACAAUCAAACCAAAGCAACUUUGUCUGGCAACAUGUUCUUUUAGCAUCUUCAUCUGUGCUAGAGAGUAAAAUUCUUAAACAUCACCCUCUCUAUCUCUCAAUAAGUUUUAUAAGGCACCAAUUCAAAUGCACUUCCACAACUUAUCAUGCCUCGUGGUAAAGUUAAGCUUCGUGUUCAUUCUGCCUAGCCUUCUAACUUUCUGACCUACGGAAGAAUAGCUCAAAGCUUUAAUGCUAAUCUAAGAUAGGGUAAUUCUAAACAGAUGAUGAAAGCAUAAUAAACUGUUUUAGCAUCUACCAACCAACUGGUCAUGAAACAAGGAAAUCCAGAAAGAGUCCCGGAAUAGAGGAGAUAACAAAAAUAAGAACAGAUAACUAUAAAGCAACAAUACUGCCACUAAAGUAUCAUCAAUGGCAUAGUUGAAACAUCAAGCAUAUGAGAAAUACAAGAAACACUGGUGAGUCAAAGUAGGAACAGUACCAGCACCUGAAGAUGGUUCCCCGUUCUGCAACCGUGACUUCCCUUGCACACCAGGACUCUGCUCUCUUGAGUGCCAACCACCACCACUCCCAGUCGACAUACUAUCCGAAUUGCUCACAUUAUCAAGCAAACUGUCUUGCAAUAACCUCUUGGUCAAUACGUCUUUCUUCCCAGAACCUGAUUUCGACGAACUACCAUCGCCACCACUACUGGAACCUCCAGGCCUAGACAAGUUACUAGCUCCGAGCACUGAAGCCACUGCACUUUUCUCACCUCGGAAGCUGAAAAAUGUCUCCUGCGGCAAGGGGCCAGAGCGGGUUUUAAUCCGGUUCAAACCCAAGGAGGAGGCUAGUAGGGGCGACUCGGAGGAGGACCUGUCCUUGGCAUCGGGCUUCUUGGAGGUAGAAGAAGAAGAGGGCUUAGAAGGUGGUGUUCGGGGUUUGAGGUCCUUGCUUCUAGGUCCAUCUUUUACUUGGGUUUGCUUGCAAGCAACGGGAGAGAAAAGGGAAGUGGAAGUGGAAGUGGAAGUGGAGGCCUGUUGGGAAGUAGAAGCUCUGGGUUUCUUCUUGUCGGAUCGGAUGGGGGAAUUGGAAGCAGAUCGAGGGCUGUUUGAUCCGUCAGAAUCCGAUUUCUUCGAAGAGAAGAAGAGCUUGUUUUUGAACACCAUUUCAUUUAUUCACUGUUUUCUUCAAGCACAAAGGAAGAAUGAAAGGCACCACUAAAUGAUUUUUCCACCAACCAUUUCUCUUCUUGAAUAAAACCAAGUUUGUUUGUUGUUCAAAUAAAAGAGAGCGUUGAAGAAGUUGGAUUUUGUUCAAAGCCUUGAGAUUGAAGAGAAAGAAUGCGACAUCUAAGGGGGCAAAGUAGGUGGAUGACGGAUGGAUGGAUAGCAUGAUAUAUAUUAGAAAACCGAACCGGAUCGGUCGCAUCAAAUUUUGACUACCAUGUGACUUUUAGACGUCACUUCUAACAAAUAUUUGGUCAAUUUCUACUAUUAGCCCCUUACUAUCGUUGAGUUGUAGAUUUACUCUUUAUAUCUUUCAAAUUUUGAAAUUUCACUCUUAAUCAAAAUAAUAACCAUUAAAAUCAUUAGUUAAAUUAUGUCAUUUUCAUAAUUUAGGUCAUAAACAUACUAUCACAUAUAAUAUAAUAUCAGUUACUCACAAAAAAUUAUGUCAUUUUAGUUAAUGAAUUUAACAAUUUUUAUUUGAGUUGUGACUGGAAUUUUAAAAUUCAAGCAGUGUAAAGAUUAAAAAUUAUCAAAUUGAAGAACAUCAAAUAAAUCUACAACUUAUACAUAGUAUGAAAUUAAUAGAAAAGUUUGACCUAACGAAUUUAAAAGGGUACCAUUUGGAUCAAAAAUAAAUUUUCAAAAUUUUCAAAAUAUAAAAAUUAAAAUUCAUCAAAUUAGUAAAUUUACAACGUGUUUGUUUGUCAAAAUGAAAUUUAGUGGGUUUUCUUUUUUGGUUAGAGAUGCUCCAUAACAACAGAAGCAAGCAGAUUUCAGCAGAGCACACAGCUCUUCUAGGGGUGCAAGGGCCAAAGUUGCAAGCAUGAACCCUGUUGAGUUAAUUUUUUUUUUUUGUCUCAAUUACCAAAUUAAGCACUUAAAUUUGACUUCAAUGGUUAAUUUGAUACCUAUAUUUUUUUUUCAAAUUAAAUUCUUAUCUUUUUUAUUAAAGCAAACAUGGUGUCAUUGGAUAUGGGUAUCAAAUUGAGAUUAAAAAAUAUAAAAUUAAACAUUCAAAGUAAAAUUUAGUUAACAAAUGAUAUAUUAACUGAAAAAUUGAUAAUAUAAUCAAAAUUAUAUGAUGAGGUCCUAAACCAUCGAGUACUUAAGUUCAAGUCUCACUAUACACAAUUGUAAUGUGUGAUUACAUGAGAAUUAUGUUACGUUGCUUCUAAUUCUUUAUCCAUUAUGCUUUGCAUUGAUUUAAUUUGAUAUUUUAGUUGCUCAUACAAUACUUGAUUGUAUUUGUAAUAUUAAAACUUUAAAACGAAAAAAUUGUAAUAUUAAAACUUUAAAACGAAAAAAAAAAAACACUUACAGCGUGUUUGGUUGGGUGUAUUGGAUUAGCCAAUACACCCCUAAUCCGUGGGCCCCACUAAUCCCCACUUAAUCCCGUGUUUAGUUUGAUGUAUUGCCUAUUACAGGCCUAUUACAACACGGAUGUAUUCCUCAUUUUCUCUGCUUCAACAACUAUUAGCCAUUCCGUUUCAAAAGUAAGGAUUAGCUAAUCGUUUCUGUUUUACCCUCCCCAGCCAAAAUCUACUGCUCCACCCCACCCUCUCCCUCCCAACAUCAACAAUAGUUUUCUUCGAACCAAAUCUCCACCGUCUCGCGUUUGGGAAGCGAGAAAGUGCGAGAAAAAUGAGUGGAUCGGGGAAGAAAGUCGUCGAUGUCGCGUUCAAAGCAUCAAAUAACAUUGAUUGGGAAGGGAUGGCUAAGCUUUUGGUCUCCGAUGAGGCUCGCAAAGAGUUCGCUACUCUUCGUCGCACUUUUGAUGAAGUUAACUCUACUUUACAAACCAAAUUCAGCCAGGUCUUUUUCUUAUAUUCUCUCUAAUCCCUAACUCCUUUUUAGCAUUUUUAUUGAUUUUUUUCAUAGAUUUGUUGGGUUAAUCCGUUGAUUAGAUCUUAUAGGGUUUUAGUUUUUUAAUGAUGAUUUUAAUAUUUUAUAUUGAAACAAAUUUUCAAUAAGGUUGAAUUUUUUUGUUCAAGGUUUGAUUUUGGAACCAUUUUUUUUUCAUUUUUAAGGAAAUUUUAGUUUUGUUCAAGGUUUCAGUCCUAUCUUGUUAAUAAUCCGAUUUCUUAAGCAGGAACCUGAACCCAUUGACUGGGAGUACUAUAGAAAAGGAAUUGGCUCUCGCCUGGUAGAUAUGUACAAAGAGGCAUAUGAGAGUAAGUUAAUUUGAUAGUUAUCAUAUUUGGCCUACUCUCUAUCCAAUUUUCCAGUCAUCCUAUAUAUGGUUAUGCUUAGAUCAGUUGCAGGUCUGUAAAAUCAUAAUUUGUUUGGCUUCCACAUGUUUGUGUUCCUCAUGCGGUGCCACUUCCUGAAUUUGUUACUUUGAAGAUCAUCUCUAUGGUACAAGGGAACUAUUACUUAGUUGGAUGCUGAUAUGGUCACCUUAAGUAGCUAGCUCUUUCCUUUCUUCACUCUCGGUUUUUGGGGUUUUGGAAGGGGUAUUAGUAAAGUAUGGAUUUUAUUGCUAUUGCUUUAUAUUUCUCUGACUAUUUUUUACGGAAAUAUCAAUGCCUGACCUAUAUCUGGACCAUAGAUAUGGGGAUAUGACCCUUCAAGGACCCUACAAAUUCUUGGAAAAAAGUUGAACAUACCCAUUUUGGACAUUUAGCCUGAUCUGACACUUGCACUCGAGUUUGCGUAACACAGUUAUCAAUCAUUUUCCAGCUCCAGAUCUCCUUGAUCUUUCCUAGAUCAGUUCCAUGCCCCAUACUUCACUGAAAGUUAAAUGGAAAUCAGUUGCCAAUGAGGACAUUGUUUAAAUUGGCUGUUAUUUUGUUUGCAAAUACAAUUCUUAUUUGUGUGCAAUUCACUUGUUGAAUGCUAUUAGCAUUUAACAAUUUCAGAUUAAUGCCGUAGAUGUUUCAUUUCAAUAAUGCUAUUAUGUGAUCAGAUUCUUCUGGACACCAAAACUUGAGAUACUCCUAUACUUAUGUUCAAAGUAGAAUGAAGAAAAUAUAGACAUCUAGCUACUCAAUUCUCACUUGUCUGCAAUUUCUAGCAGUCGAAGUAAUCAUAUUUAUCAUGCUUGUUAUAAGGUUUGGAUGGAGUUUUAAGGGAUUCACAGUUACAAAUGUUAUAUACUCUUCCAUUGCAGGUGUAGAGAUCCCCAAGUUUGUUGACACCGUCACUCCUCAAUACAAACCAAAAUUUGAUGCAUUGGUGAGAAUCAACAGGAUAAUUGACUCUCUUUUACCCUAUCUCCAAGUUUUUUCCUCGAAUGAUGUGCUAUUUAUUUGUGGUUAUAGCUUGUAGAAUUGAAAGAGGCAGAGGAGGAAUCCUUGAAAGAGUCCGAGCGAUUGGAGAAAGAAAUUGCAGAGGUUCAAGAACUUAAGGUAAUAAAUAAAACAAUGCCGAAAUGUGUGUCGUUGUGUUCCAAAUCACAAUUGCUGAAUUUUUUAUCUUUUUUUAUGAACAGCAAAAGAUCAGCACCAUGACCGCAGACGAGUACUUUGAGAAACAUCCAGAGCUUAAAAAGAAAUUCGAUGAUGAGAUCCGGAAUGACUACUGGGGCUAUUGACAUAUUUGUGAAUUUAAUGGCCAAGCUUUUGGUCUCGACUAGAAUUUUUGAACCGUUUCUGUUGUUUUAACCCCUUUUUCUCUUGUGCGGUGAUCUGGGUUGGAAAGAUUAGGCUGUAAUGAUAAGAAAAUAAUUGUGUAAGAAAAAUUUAUCCAAUCAUUUGAGAAACAAGGUGGAUCUUGUAAGACAUGCAUUCUAUUUAGCAGGCAUCCGCAGUCAUACUUUCAUGGCAAAAUUUUUACUGUCUGCCCUCUUCAUUCCAUUCUGUUUUAUGUUUAUUAUUUGAAUAUUAUCUAGAUACAAUUGAAUUUGGACACCUAUUUAUCUAGAUCCAUUCUAUAUGUAUUUUUUAAUAAGUGGUUAUUUAUAUUAUUAGUAUUUUGAAAUUUUAAAUUAUAUAAAUUAAUAUAAAAAAGGUUUUUACAUCAAGAAUGAAUUUAUUGAUUCAAGUGCAUCUAAACAAUCAUUUAUCCAAAUUCAUCGGGACGUGCUUUUUAGUUCUUUUUAAUAUUAAUUAUUUUAAAUUGUAUAAAUUCAUAUAAGAAUAUUUAUUAUCAAGAAUUUUAUGAAAUUAUAUAUUAUUAUUAAAUUAUAUGUAAUAAUAAUUAUUUUAAAUUAUACAAAUUCAUAAAAUAUAAUUUAUUAGUUAUAAUUAUUUUAAAUUUUAUUAAAUCAUAUAUUUUAAUUAAAAUAUUUAAUAUUAAUUAUUUCAAAUUUUCUUUUAUAGUAUCAUAUAUUAUUAUUUGAGUAAAUUCAUAUAAGAAUAUUAAUUAUUAAGAAUUUUUAAAUUAUAUAUUUUAAUUAUAUAUAUAAUAUAAUAAUUAUUUUUAUUUUACAGUAUCAUAUAUUAUGAUUUGAGUAAAUUCAUAUAAUAUUAAUUAUUAAGAAUUUUAUUAAAUUAUAUAUUUAAUUAUAAUAUAUUUAAUAAUAAUUAUGUUUAAAUAUGAUUAAAUUAUUUAUUAUUGAUAUUAAUAAUCUUAUUAAAAUUUAAAUAACAAUAACAAUAAUAAUUUACCAAAACAAAUUUCUGCUAAUUAUUAAGAAUUUUAUUAAAUUAUAUAUUUUAAUUAAAAUAUAUUAAAUAAUAAUUAUAUUUAAAUAUGAUUAAAUUAUUUAUUAUUGAUAAUAAUAAUAUUAUUAAAAUUUAAAUAACAAUAACAAUAAUCAUUUACCAAAACAAAUUUAUGCUAAGGGUAUUCUAGUCAUUUUAGUUUUUCCAUUAUGCUAUUACACCUCUAUUCCAUUCAACCAAGCACAAGAUUACUAUUACGCCUCUAUUUCACUACAUUCAACCAAACAGUUGAUUUGCUAUUACACCUCUAUUCCAUUACACUUCUAUUUCAUUACACUUCUAAUCCAAUACAGCGAACCAAACGUGCCCGCUGUUUUGUAAGAAAAAUAUAUAAAAGAAACUGCUGCUCUCAUUAGUUUCCAUUUUACCACCACCAUUGCUUAUUACCCAUUAAAAAAGAAAGAAAAAAACAGGGAGGUAUCCAUAUUCCAUGGCGUUAUUAUAUUUUCCUACCCAAUUAAGCAUGCAGCACCACUGCUUUUCUUUCAAGCACAAGUGAGUGGUGGGAGAUUGCAUUGAGAAGGGAGUCGAGAAGCGAUCCUUAGAGUGCUGCAAAGGCAAUCAUGGUGCACCGAUUGGAGUGCGUUACAGCAGUCAAUGCUAGGGUUAGCCACAGCUGCACCGGGCACCACGAAAGGUGUGCACACGUUCAGGCUAAUCAUUCUGAAAUAAUAACUUGGCAAAGAGAUACCUGUGGAAGAUCCUCUUGCUCAGAGAAAGCACCCUUGCCUGACAAUAACAAGUCUAUGUGACAAGUUCUUGGUGUCGAUAAAGGAGAUCUAGGAGUCAUGCUUCCUGCAGACGAUGUUGUCAUUCCUUGAUCAACCUUUGGACCAAAGCGAGUUUUACAUGACAUGGAAGGUAGACCCUUAAGGUCAUCCAUAAAAACUGAAUUAUCAGCUUCAGGGAAACAAUCAAGCAUGUCUUCUGAACCUCUCCUUGACCAAUCACUUAGUUUAGGAGAUAGAACAUCAAAUUCUUCAGUCACACUCGAAUUUGAUGCUUUUGCAACAUCUGGGCCCCCUAAGUGUUGGAUAUCCUUAUUAGCAAAGGAAUCUGCCAUCUUCUCAAGUGUUUCAGCAAUUCUUACAAGACGUUCAUCAACACUUAAGCCGUUCUGAUCACAUCGAUCAGUAGCGGUACAUAUUCUUGAGUGAUCUUCCACAUUUGAGGUGGGAACCUCCUCCUCACAAAUGCGGCAUAUUAUAGAACUUCCUUCAGAAGCAGUCGGUUGGUCUCCCUGAGAACUCGAAGAAACUUUGUGUUGAUGCUUAGAAGGCUGCCCUUCAGAUUCUUUUGCAGCAGGAAGCUCCUGAAGGUUAAUAGAAGUCAGAUCUACAUCAGACGUCCCUGUUCUUUUCAGAGUUUCACUUGUGCUAUUAUGCUGCGCCUUAAUAGCAGUAACUUCCUUUGGACCUUUUCUGGCAGGAGUUGCGAGUUUCUUCCAAGAAGUUAUUUUGUCUAUGCUCACAGGAGACUCCAAGUUCUUUGGUGUGUCAUCAAUGGGAGCAAUGGAACUGAUACGAGUCAAGAAGGUGAUACUCAAGGGGUUAUUUUUCUUAGCGGUCCAAUCACUCGAAGCAAGGCACGACAAUUAAAAUCAAAGAUGAAUGCUUUUGUCCAAGACUUUGUUGCUACAAAUUUAAUUCAUCAUGUUCAUGACGUUGACAAAUACGGGAAUGCAAUUCACUGGACCAAUCUUGGAAUAGUGAAAGCCCAUAAAUUGGUAGAUUAAUCUUUUAUGUAUCUUAUUAUUAUUAUUUACUUAAUUCUCAUUGGUUGGGACACAUCACUUAUGAGUUUUAAGUAAUUUCAUUAGUUAGGUUAUUAUUUAUUUAUUUUCUUAGAUAAUUUUAAAGAGUUUUAUUAGGGUUUAAUUACUCUUGUAUUUUACCUAUAAAUAGACUUGCUUUCUACACAUUGAGGGGAAUAAAAAAAAGAGUAUUUAUUUUCUUCCAAAUUUGUGUGAGGCAAAUUUUUGAGAGUAGAGUGAUUCUUCUUUUGCUAUUUAGUUUGGAGUUUGUUACUUUCGAGGGUAUUUCGGAGUUACAAAUAUUCAAAUUUCUUUCCCGUUCAUCGGUGUUUCUAGAGGUUCUUCUUCUAGGGGUUUCGUAGGGAACCGCUCAAUCAUUUGCGUUUUUGGUUACAAGUUAACUAAGGGUUCCAUAGGGCAAAUCUAUCCUUUUUUUUCUUUUAACUAAUUUUAUUUAUUCUCAUUUUUAUUUCUAAUUUGUGUUUCUCUUGUGUCUAGAUCUGGGAUUCCGUAUCAGUUGGUAUCAGUUUCAGACCAUUCGGUGUUAUUUUUGAAGCUAAAAUCAUAUCCGAAACAAGUUAAAAUACCAAAAACACUUUUCAUUUAACACUUUUCAUUGGUUUCGUCAAUUACCAUUCGGUGUUAUUUUUGAAGCUAAAAUCAUAUCCGAAACGAGUCAAAAUACCAAAAACACUUUUCAUUGGUUUCGUCGAUUGCCAUUCAGUGUUAUUUUUGAAGCUAAAAUCAUAUCCGAAACGAGUCAAAAUACCAAAAACACUUUUCAUUGGUUUCGUCGAUUUUUUUUCUCCUCUUAUUCUUUAAAAAAAAGCAAAGAGUGCAAAAAAAAACUGAUGCGGAAUCCCGGAUCUAGACACAAGAGAAACACAAAUUAGAAGAAGAAAAACGCCAAUAAUUGAGAUAGAUUUGCCCUAUGGAACCAUUGGUUAACUUGUAACCAAAAACGCCAAUAAUUGAGCAGUUCCCUACGAAAUCCCUAGAAGAAGAACCUCUAUAAACACCGAUGAACGGGAAAGAAAUUUAAAUAUUUGUAACUCCGAAAUACCCUCGAAAGUAACAAACUCCAAACUAAAUAGCAAAAGAAGAAUCACUCUACUCUAAAAAAUUUGCCUGACACAAAUUUGGAAGAAAACAAAUACUCUUUUUUUUAUUCCCCUCAAUGUGUAGAAAGCAAGUCUAUUUAUAGGCAAAAUACAAGAGUAAUUGAACCCUAAUAGAACUCUUUAAAAUUAUCUAAGAAAAUAAAUAAAUAAUAACCUAACCAAUAAAAUUACUUAAAACUCAUAAGUGAUGUGUCUCAACCAAUGAGAAUUAAGCAAAUAAUAAUAAUAAGAUACAUAAAAGAUUAAUCCACCAAUUUAUGGGCUUUCACUAUUCCAAGAUUGGUUCAGUGAAUUGCAUUCCCGUAUUUGUCAACGUCACGAACAUGAUGAAUUAAAUUUGUAGCAACAAAGUCUUGGACAAAAGCAUUCAUCUUUGAUUUUAAUUGUCGUGCCUUGCUUCGAGUGAUUGGACCGCUAAGAAAAACAACCCCUUGAGUGUCACCUCCUUGGCUCAUAUCAGGAACCUCCUGGCAGGACAAUGUGGUCCUUACUCCAAUCCAAGGCAUGUUGCUCCUGACUAUAAGAUUUCUUAGACGAGGCUGCUUUUGAUGCCUUUGAUGAACCCAAACUUUUUGCUUUUCUUAGAACACCUGAAAAUUUUCUAUUGUCUACAGGAUGCAGGACUCUAGAUUGGCGAAGUUGUACCAAAGGUUCAUCCUCAGCCAACCCACUUUCUUUGUGGAACUGCAACAAUCUUGUACACCUUGUGAGAAUGAAAAGCAUCCGGGUAUAAAGCUGCUUCAGCACACACGCAGGAAGUUCUUGACGCUCAUCAUCUAGCUCCUGAACAAUGCCUUCACACUGAAGCCAAAACUCACCAGGUGGUGUCAUAGCACAGCUUCGAGCCAAAACCAGCAAAUCCUCAAUAGUUUCCUGCCACUCAGGAUGAUUGUCAGCAGUUCUUUCUAGAAAUCCAACAAGAUCUGCUGCAAAAAUAGCCAGAUCAGAGUUCACUUCCUCCUUUGCUUUGUCAAAUUUUGCUCUAAUAGCAACCAAGGUUUCCU
rnacentral:lncRNA from 1 species